CGCCUUAUAGUAAACUUUAANUUACACCAAAAUCGCCAGGGAANUACGAGCUAAGCUUAAAACCCAAAGGAUUUGACGGUGCCCCAUACCCUCCUAGAGGAGCCUGUCCUGUAAUCGAUGAUCCCCGCUUAACCUCACCACUUUUAGCCAUUCAGCCUGUAUACUUCCGUCGUCAGCUUACCGCAUGAGCGCAUAUCUAAGUAAGCCCAAUGUUCAACCCAUCAAUACGUCAGGUCAAAGUGCAGCAAAUAAAGUGGGAAAAAGAUGGGCUACACUUUCUAUAGUAGAAAAUACGAAAGAUUAAAGUGAAACCUUAAUCAGAAGGUGGAUUUAGUAGUAAAAAGAAAAUAGAGUAUUCUUUUUAACUUGGCCCUGGGGUGUGU
rnacentral:rRNA from 1 species